rnacentral:rRNA from 1 species
GCGAGUGGCGAACGGGUGAGUAAUGAAUCGGAACGUGCCCGGUAGUGGGGGAUAACCAGUCGAAAGACUGGCUAAUACCGCAUACGACCUACGGGUGAAAGCGGGGGACCGUAAGGCCUCGCGCUAUCGGAGCGGCCGAUUUCCGAUUAGCUAGUUGGUGAGGUAAAGGCUCACCAAGGCGAUGAUCGGUAGCUGGUCUGAGAGGACGGCCAUCCACACUGGGACUGAGACACGGCCCAGACUCCUACGGGAGGCAGCAGUGGGGAAUUUUGGACAAUGGGCGAAAGCCUGAUCCAGCCAUGCCGCGUGCGGGAAGAAAGCCUUCGGGUUGUAAACCGCUUUUGGCAGGAACGAAACGGCGC